AUACGUAGGGGGCGAGCGUUGCUCGGAUUUACUGGGCGUAAAGAGAGUGUAGGUUGUUUAUUAAGUCGGAUGUGAAAUCCCGGGGCUCAACCUCGGAACUGCAUUCGAUACUGGUAGACUAGAGUUCGGGAGGGGUAAGCGGAAUUCCGUGUGUAGCAGUGAAAUGCGUAGAUAUACGGAGGAACACCUGAGGCGAAGGCGGCUUACUGGACCGAUACUGACACUGAGACUCGAAAGCGUGGGUAGCAAACAGGAUUAGAAACCCGAGUAGUCC
rnacentral:rRNA from 1 species